rnacentral:RNase_P_RNA from 2 species
ACAGCACCAAAGCCGCGAGGCUCACGCCGCACAGGACAGUCCGGUGUCGCCACCCGGACUUCCACACUCGUGAGCGGGCUAAGGUCUGAGCAUUCCAAUUCCUCUCGAUCGACUCUAGCUGGGUCCAGUCUGAACGGACUGAGCGUCGCACCAGAAAUACAGUACCACCGGGGCCUCGUGGGCACCCAGUGCCUGCGCAGCCUCCCUUUCGAGGGUCCCAGAGAAGCGCCUCGGUGCAGAGGGACGGACUGCGGACUUUGGGAUACGGCGCAGGGAUCGGGCGUGCGCCCUCUCCUCGUGGGCCUCGGGGUAGCUACCCUAGGCCGACAGGAUGGCGACGUCCUUCAGUGCACUUCGCGGCUCGCGCAUAUAGGGGCCUCGUGCCUCUGCGAAACUCGAUUCAGACUACUCUGGUGCUGU